CUCUGCCUCUCCAGCUCUGGAGGGGCCCUGCCGGCUCUCAAACUCCUUCUUCCACAUCUCACCUGGAGAGUGCUGGAGGCUCAUGAGGAGGCACCGUGGGCCCAGGAAUCAGCUGCAAAAACGCAAAGGUUCUUCAACACUCUUUAGGAGGCUGAGCUCAUCAGCCAGGAUCAUCAUGUCGGUAACCAGGUUAUCCAGCAGCCCAUAGACCUGCAAGAAUGGGAUAAACAUCAGAAGCCAAGGCUGGCCUGCAGAAGGCACCGAUGUACCAGACUUACUAAAAGAGGAAAUACGGAGAGCAGAAUGCCAAAGUUGGAUAGUGUAUUGCUGCAUGUAAUUGUUUUUUAGAUCUGGAGUGGGCCUGGGAAUCAGUUCCAAUUCUGUGUUGGUUUUCCAGAAGCCAACUCUCCUUCCUGUAAGAUCAUAGAUCUACAUAUUGAAGCUUCCAAAAACCAAGCCUGAGCCCCCCUACUGCGGCUGGACCACACAGCCUAAGAAAAUUGACUCUUAAAACCGUAGGGUCGAAGAAGUGUUUAUACCCCGGAGUCCCCAGAGCCCCAAAACUCCCUUCUAGAGCCCAUCAGCCAUCAGAAGACUCAAUGAUGUCACAGGCAGCAGCAAACUAUUUCUGGUCAAAGGAGACCCUGGGGUGGUCCCACAGUGUACAGUAAUGCAAGCCCAGAUUCGCAAUGCCUUAUCAGGGAAAGACAAAGCAUCCCUGUUAGAUAUGCUGACUUAGUCAGCGUGGUUUUGUAGACCUCCCACACACCUUGAAAAAAACCAUAGUAACCAAAGACUAAGAUGACCUGGGGCGUCUCUGAGGACCUGUUGCUUAAGACCAGAUCAUGAUGAAGUCUUUUCAGCAAAUGCACACUGGCUAUCCUUUGAAUGUACAUUGCCCCCUCCAGAGCUCAUGUUAAAAUCUGCUUCUGGUGUGAGUGUUGAGAAAUCUGGAGACCUUUAAGAGGUCUUUGAGUCAGGAGGGCCCCACCUGCACCGAGCAAUUAAUACCUUCACCACAGUGAGUCCUGGCGGUUGUCAGGAAACAAGUCUCCUUUUGUGUACCUUCCACACAAGCCCAGCCCUCCCGGGGGCCCUACUCCUGGGCUUUCUGGCCUGCAGAGCCGUGAGCCAAGAUAAACUUUUCCUAUAAA